rnacentral:lncRNA from 1 species
ACAAUAGCAACAUAACAACCAUCCGACAUAAUAACCACAUAAUCAACCAUCUAACACAAUAAAAAAUGCAACCAAUAUGCAAUGCAAUGAGACUCGACAACUCGACUCAAUGCAUGCAGUACCAAUACGUGAACACACGGGUUCAUUGCUCCGAUCCUCACAUCCUAGGAUCAAAGCCACCAAUUUGUUACCAUCAUCUUUGAUAACAGCUCGCCAAUUCCAU